rnacentral:rRNA from 1 species
UACGGAGGGUGCGAGCGUUAAUCGGAAUUACUGGGCGUAAAGCGCAUGCAGGUGGUUCAUUAAGUCAGAUGUGAAAGCCCGGGGCUCAACCUCGGAAUAGCAUUUGAAACUGGAUGACUAGAGUGCGGCAGAGGGUGGUAGAAUUUCAGGUGUAGCGGUGAAAUGCGUAGAGAUCUGAAGGAAUACCAGUGGCGAAGGCGGCCCCCUGGACAGACACUGACACUCAGAUGCGAAAGCGUGGGGAGCAAACAGG